rnacentral:rRNA from 1 species
AGUGAACGCUGGCGGUAGACCUAACACAUGCAAGUCGAACGGCAGCACAGUAAGAGCUUGCUCUUACGGGUGGCGAGUGGCGGACGGGUGAGGAAUACAUCGGAAUCUACUUUUUCGUGGGGGAUAACGUAGGGAAACUUACGCUAAUACCGCAUACGACCUACGGGUGAAAGCAGGGGAUCUUCGGACCUUGCGCGAUUGAAUGAGCCGAUGUCGGAUUAGCUAGUUGGCGGGGUAAAGGCCCACCAAGGCGACGAUCCGUAGCUGGUCUGAGAGGAUGAUCAGCCACACUGGAACUGAGACACGGUCCAGACUCCUACGGGAGGCAGCAGUGGGGAAUAUUGGACAAUGGGCGCAGGCCUGAUCCAGCCAUACCGCGUGGGUGAAGAAGGCCUUCGGGUUGUAAAGCCCUUUUGUUGGGAAAGAAAAGCAGCAGGUUAAUACCCCGCUGUUCUGACGGUACCCAAAGAAUAAGCACCGGCUAACUUCGUG